rnacentral:rRNA from 1 species
CUACGGGUCGCACCAGUGGGGAAUAUUGGACAAUGGGCGCAAGCCUGAUCCAGCAAUGCCGCGUGAGUGAAGACGGCCUUAGGGUUGUAAAACUCUUUCGCUAGGGAAGAUAAUGACUGUACCUAGUAAAGAAGUCCCGGCUAACUCCGUGCCAGCAGCCGCGGUAAUACGGAGGGGACUAGCGUUGUUCGGAAUUACGGGGCGUAAAGAGUUCGUAGGCGGACUGACAAGUUAGAGGUGAAAUCCCAGGGCUCAACCCUGGAACUGCCUUUAAAACUGUCAGUCUAGAGACCGGAAGUGGUUAGGGGAAUACCUAGUGUAGAGGUGAAAUUCGUAGAUAUUAGGUGGAACACCAGUGGCGAAGGCGCCUAACUGGUCCGGUACUGACGCUGAGGAACGAAAGCGUGGGGAGCAAACAGGAUUAGAUACCCUAGUAGUC